rnacentral:rRNA from 1 species
AUUGAACGCUGGCGGCAGGCCUAACACAUGCAAGUCGAGCUGAUGAAGGGAGCUUGCUCCUGGAUUCAGCGGCGGACGGGUGAGUAAUGCCUAGGAAUCUGCCUGGUAGUGGGGGAUAACGUCCGGAAACGGGCGCUAAUACCGCAUACGUCCUGAGGGAGGAAGUGGGGGAUCUUCGGACCUCACGCUAUCAGAUGAGCCUAGGUCGGAUUAGCUAGUUGGUGGGGUAAAGGCCUACCAAGGCGACGAUCCGUAACUGGUCUGAGAGGAUGAUCAGUCACACUGGAACUGAGACACGGUCCAGACUCCUACGGGAGGCAGCAGUGGGGAAUAUUGGACAAUGGGCGAAAGCCUGAUCCAGCCAUGCCGCGUGUGUGAAGAAGGUCUUCGGAUUGUAAAGCACUUUAAGUUGGGAGGAAGGGCAGUAAGUUAAUACCUUGCUGUUUUGACGUUACCAACAGAAUAAGCACCGGCUAACUUCGUG